UCGGGGAGUCCCAUGCGUGCGUGGAUAAUAAAACCCCUUGAUUUUUCAUGAGGGCUGGUUCCUUGGGAUCUUCUUCGUGAUGGUGAUCUUACAUUUGGAGGCCCCAGCGAUAUCCACUCCCUCGCCGAAGCAGGCCCCAAUGGCCACAAAGUGCCUCUCGGGGGAUGGAGCCAGGAUGUGAUGUAUUGGCAGGAAGGUGUGUCUUGCUCUUUGCUGGUUCCUGUUUGCUGUUUGCAGCCGCCAUGAACUGCAGCCCAGCCAUGCCCGCCUGCUUGGGAGCCAACUGAGUGUGGACUGAAACCUCCAAAAACUACGUUGCAAACCUAAGUCUGAACCUGUGAGGAAGAGCAGAGAAUCUUGUACAGAGUUGUGAGUUGUAACCUGGCCUCUUCAGAAGUCUUCCUGUCUUACGGCUGUCUCCUCCCCACACUCCAGGAAAUCCAACCUCUGUCCCAUAAACUUCUGCAAGGCACUAGCUGGUCAGAUUUGUCAUGACUGAUUUUUGUUUGCAUUGUUAUUAAAUUGGCUCUUCUUUGGCUGGUUGUAAGCACACCUCCACUGUUUUAUUAUGUUAUUGUUUAAUCUUUAUUUUUUAUGAAUGUAGAAUGAAUAAGAGAAACCCAUGUGGCAGAACAGAGAUUGUAGUUACUAGUUGAUUUUAACUAAGUAGCUCUUUUGAGAGCCAAUCAUCAAUUGAAAAUAAAUUUUUAUUACAUAUAAACAUUCAAAUAUAUAUUCAAGAUAACAUAAAUGUUUCAUUAAGUAAUAUUUAUUUUAAAGUAUAUUAUACACUCAAAU